GGCCCGUGUCUUGGAGGCUGCCUUCUUCGGAAUGUACACUAAGGGAAGAGAUGGACAGGAGAAUGGGAAGUAGCACAGAAACCACAGAUUCUGCCUCCUUCGGAAUGUACACUAAGCCUCAAACUCCAUGAACCUGCAGAGGGUGAGAAAGGCAUAGGCAAUGCUGAGAAGGAGACCAGACCCAUCAGAAAUCCAGACGACAGCCAAGCAUGGCCAAGAAAGGAAGUGCUCUCAGGCCUAUGCAACAGCCUGGUGGGAUCUCACAGUGGGAUCCUCCUCAAGACCUCAUUUGCCCCUGCCUACAACCACAAAGAAUUCAAGGCAGUUCCUACCAGGAAACAAUGUGAGAUCCCAGAGUCCUGAGACUGGGAUGGGAUUCUUGGAAAGAUAUUAUAGAGAAAUAGAAGAAGAGCCAGGAGACAACUUUGGGCAUCCAGGACACUGGCUUUCCCCGGCUCUUCCAGAACCAGCCCCCUCCCUGGGAUAAAGGCGGAAAGGGAUUUUCUGUGCCACUAUUUCCAAUGGAGGAGUGGUCCUGAAGUUCUGUAUCAAUAGCCACUUGCUACCAAGUCAAUGAGAAGAGAAAAGAACCUGCCUGGUAGAGCACACCUCCUCAUUGCUAGGUCCCUUCAGCAUGAAAUUUCUAUAUCUAUCGGGGUCCAAUCUCCAAUCCCAUCCUAAGACCUACAAUAUCAAGGCUCCUAUACAGAUUCAGGAUCUGGUGAGGGGGGAGCUUUCAAGAGGAAACAGGAUAGAAAAACCCAAGAGUCAAGGUGGUGGAAGAAGAAGCAAGGAUCCAGGAAACUGCCAUCCUAGUCUACACCCCUCCUCCCGUCCCUUUUUUUCUUUUCUUUUCUUUUUUUUUUUUUUGUGAUGAGGUCUUGCUAUGUUGUCCAGGCUGGUCUUGAACUACUGAACCCAAACCAUCCUCCCACCUUAGCCUCUAGAGUAGCUGGGACUACAAGC
rnacentral:lncRNA from 1 species